rnacentral:rRNA from 1 species
AUGUGAUCGUCUCUCGCAUAUCAAUAAGCGGAGGAAAAGAAACUAACAAGGAUUCCCCUAGUAACGGCGAGUGAAGCGGGAAGAGCUCAAAUUUGAAAUCUUAAAGGGUUUCCCUUUACGAAUUGUAGUUUAAAGAAGUGUUUUCUGUUGAGGUUUUGGUAAAAGUUCUUUGGAAUAGGACAUCAUAGAGGGUGAGAAUCCCGUAUUUGACCUUUACUUUCAACUUUGUGAUACACUUUCAAAGAGUCGGAUUGUUUGGGAAUGCAGUCCAAAAUGGGUGGUAAAUUUCAUCUAAAGCUAAAUAUUGGCGAGAGACCGAUAGCGAACAAGUACCGUGAGGGAAAGAUGAAAAGAACUUUGAAAAGAGAGUUAAACAGUACGUGAAAUUGUCAAAAGGGAAGCGUUUGACACCAGUGUUGUUUUUCUGAAAAUCAAUUAAAGAACUGUUUAUGCUAAGUUGUUUAGACUUUAUCAGCUAACUGUUUAGUUUUGAGCUUUUCUUUAAUGCACUUUUCAGUUAACAAGUCAACAUCAAUUUCUUUUGCUGUAAAAAAGCUUGAGGAAGGUGGCUUGAGAUUCGUCUUAAGUGUUUAUAGCCUCUUGCCUAUGCAGUCGGAGAGAUUGAGGUCUGCAGCGUAGAUCCUUCGGGGCUAAAUGCAUUUGUGCUAAGUUAUAGCAUUUUAUAGACAACUUGUUGACUAUGAUUUGUCUUGUAGCUUACUCGCUUAUGUUAUUUUACCUACGCUUAGGAUGUUGACACACGCGCGUGCUCG